UGAGGGUAAAAACAUAAAAUUAUCUACUCACCUUUUUGUAAAUGACAUAGAAAAUUAUCAAAGUAUUUUCAAAUACCAGAACCUAAUAGUCCCCACUCCUGAAAAGGCUAAUAGAAGAUUUGGAGGACACAAUAGUGAAUUUAAACAUUUUCAAUGGUUAAUAGGGAUUCUAAAUGUUAUCAUCAAAGAAUAAUAAACUCUCUAAGUAUCACACACAUUUGCACCACCAUUAAUGGGUUUAUGGGCCUAGAUAUGUGGGGUUAAUGAUAGCAAAACUUCACUGAAAGAAUAGAUUUACUCAGCCAGGUUUGAUUGGCCAGUAGUCACCGUGGCACUUGUCUCACUGGUUUCUUUUUAGGAAAGGAGACCACCAAAGCCAAAUCUAUGUGUCCAACUUGUCAUCAGAACUUAGAAUUCAUUCUGGUCAAAAUUCUGUCUGCAAAAGUAUGACUCAAGUGAAUUAAACUUCAGAGCUUCUUCAGGCUGUGAUUGUGCAAAUUUAAUUUUAGAUAAUGUACCAGAUUUAGACAUUUGCAUUCAGGCUUUUAUUGUCCAGAGGGAGAAUUGUUAAAUCAGGAGAAACUACAGUGUUGUGCCAUAGAAUAGCACUUCCCUGGGAAGGUGGCUACUAUCCUGUCAUAAUUAGCUCUGUGACCUUGGGCAAUCCGUGUGGCCUUGCUGGGCAUCAUGUGAAAAAUGAAAUGGUUACACAGACGAUCUCCAAAGUCUCUCCAGUUCUCAGUCCCUCAACCUCUCAGGUGGUAUGAACACCAAAUUACUUUGGCAAAUGGCUUAUAAAUCCACAGGAGCAAUGGGAGGGACAUCAGCAGAUAUAUCAAAAGGACUCAGGAGCCAAUUUGGAACUACCACUGGCAAAAGAUGGGAAAAUAUGAUUGGCAGUAAGGGGAACAAGAUAAUGUACAGAAACAUAUCAGUGACAUGCUGCUUAGCAGUGCUGAGGACUGGGGCCACAUACCACUGUCUUCCGCAGCAUUUGGACUCUGCCAUCAGUGUGAAAAAGAGCAGUGAAAUAG
rnacentral:lncRNA from 1 species